GUUCUUGUAGCUCAGUUGGUUAGAGCACCCGUUUAGUAAGCGGGAGGUCGUUAGUUAAACUCUCAACAAGAGCA
rfam:Ipomoea nil DNA, scaffold: scaffold2191, cultivar: Tokyo-kokei standard.